GUUUCUUCCUCACAGUAGCUUAAGCAGGCAGAAGUGUGGAGAGGGAGGCUUCCUGUGAAAGCUAUACAUCACUGUCUGUCUGGUACCUUGUGCAGUACCAAUGUGGGAAGAAGGAUGGAAGGAGAAACUGAGUCAUCUCUUCAGCUGUGCCUCCUAAGGAGAAAAUGUGUGCCCUAUUUUGGGUUCUGACUGAUUGAUCCGGAGCAACCAUAAUUCUCUUGGCUCUGGCUGAGAAACUGACAUAACAAGGUCAGAAGAUGCCAAGGGGAAACUGAGAUGUGUCAGUUAGUAGCUAUAAAUAUCAAACGCACAGCAUGGAGAUGGUUCUUCUCAGAAUUCCAAGGGAUAUCCUACUGCAGUCUGAUCAUGGUGGAAACUGUGUAUUGGUACUCCUUGAUUUACAAUAAGUGAUGCCUUUGAUAGAUUUUUUUUUUUUGUCAUUUUUUUGUAUCAGUCCCUGACCGAAUAUCUUAGUCUGCUCCACUAACCUCUGAAGUUCCUCAAGGAUUAAUUUUAGGACCUGUUUAAUUCUCUGUACAUGCUCCCUUAAGGACUCAUUAUUUGUGAGUGUGAAGGUGUCUCAUCAUUACUAUGGUAAAUGGUCUUAUACUUGUAUA